rnacentral:ncRNA from 1 species
GACAUUCGAGGUGGUAAAUUUCGUACAAACCACACACCGAAGGCAGGCAAAAGCCGAGAGAUGCGGGAGAACUGUACGCCCGCCGAAUGUA